rnacentral:lncRNA from 1 species
CACCACGUCUAAUGCUACUCCAAGAACUUUCUCAUGUCUAGAGUAUGGCAACUAAAGAGGUGAUUUGGGAUGAGUUUGGGUGGUUGGUGAUGGCAGAGAAAGAACAAAUUCGUAGGAAAUGGAAGGAAGGCUUGUUGGAGUUGUUCCUCCCUCUGAUUUUGGGCUGAAUGGAGUGAUAUAGGAUGGCUGGAGUGAAUUAUUGGUCAAUUGAGUGAAUCCUUUGCCUUUGAGCAGCUGACACACCUCCCUAAAUUGCUCCAUAAAUUGCUCAACAUGUCUGGUCUAAAGUCAAGGAAAGCUGUGGUGAGUCACAUGGCUCAAAGAAAGUAUCCAAGGCUCAACAACUGGAAACUGCAAUCCUGAGCCUGGUGUGUAUAUGGGCUCACGAAUUGGGCUCAACUUCAUAAUCUGAUGCAUUUGAGUAGUCCAUCUUGAAGUUCAGACUCUCAUCUUUCCAACUACAUAUUAUUUGGGCCAAUCCAAGUUCGGAGAAAGAUGUUAAGGCCGAAAUGAGUUGCUAACCCAGUCUGCUCGGUUUUGCACCAUUUUGCAUCUUUUCUUAUCCAAAGACACCAUUGCUACCUAAGGCCCAAUGAACUGAAUGAUAAACAUAAAAAGGAUUAAAAGCACACGUUUGACUCAAUAACAUAACCAAAUCAUAAGUUAGAAGGGUACAAAAUGAUAUACAAUUGUGAACUGAUCAAAUACCCCCAGACCUAAAUUUUGCUAGUCCUCGAGCAAAACAAAAGAGAAUAAAGUUGAAAACAAAACAAGAAGUUAACUAAACCACUUAUGUAGGUAACUUGAUUGCAAUGUGCAUAUGCAACAAGCCUUUAAACCUCUCGGCAUCCCUAAUCGGAAGAGUUGUGUCUCCUGAGGGUUUAACAGAAACGAUACCCAGAAACGCUUUACUGACUCUCUAACACCAAAAGGUUAGAAAACUAACUUUGAAAACAACUAAUGAAAGAAAACUUUAAUCAUGCAUCCAACACCAUAGAGUUACCAAGAUAGAUGAUCAAUAAGUGUGUAAAGUGGAAGCUAUAGCUCAAAGGCACACGGCUUCAAAGUAAACAUACUCAAAUCUUGAAGGAAGAACAUGCUUCAACUCUAAUUCUCACAUGUAGCACUCAAUCACUCAGAACCUAUGGUUUUAUUCUCUCAAACAAGCAUAAGUGAGUAUAUGAAAUAGAAGCACAAUAUUGGUUAGAUCUCAUGAAGGGAAUCAAAUACUAAGAGUAGAGAUACACACAUACAUACCAGCACCCAUAAAUACAUCCUCAAAGAUCAGCUAGGUCUUUCACAAGGUUGUAAUGAAAGGCUAAGGUUAAGGGAAGUGGAAGAAUUGGAAGGAACACAACUAACUUAAGAACAUACCAAGGUUGCAUUCUUUAUUGAUCUGCAAGGUAUCAUUGAUUUAGAAUGGUAUGGCUGCAACUUCAUAGCAUCAUCUGGCAUAGACUUUAUAUUUCACAUUUAGAUCAAAUCGAAACACUUUCUCUUUAUCUUUCUUUUUUUUUUUUUUUGACUUGAUCUACUUCUUCUUUAACUUUAUUGCAUAGAUUCACACCAAUUUACAUUUGGGCAUGUGGCAGCAACCUCCUUGCUUCAAACUUUAUCUUCGCACACCUUGGUAUAUUUCUAAGCUAUAGGGUAUGGCUAUAAUAGGUUAAAUAUCUCUGAUUGAGAUACAAAGUUAGGGGAAUUAUGAGGGUGAUAGAAGAAAAAGGCUUGUAGUGUUUGACUGCAAGAGAGCUGAUGGAACACACGAAUGGGUAGGGUGAAAAGAAAGCACAGAAAAUGGUUAUACACGCAGAGCCUAGCAUCACUUCAAUGAGUUCAUUCAUGGGUGAGAGCACGCACCUGAUAUCUGCAAAGAGAAUCAUCCUUAGUAUUCAAUCAAAAUGGAACAAUGAGAUCAUUUAGAGUGAAUUGAAGAAAAUAAGUAGAGAUGAGGAAUAGAAACACUUUAAACCCUCUCAAGAAAGCAAUUAGGCUCGAAAUAGCUCACUAGGGUAGUCUCCACUAUUCUCCUUCAAGAAUCUGAGCAUGGUACUUUAGCCACCAGAAUUCUAAGAGCAAAAGCUUUGUGAAGUGUAAAAUUUCUGAUAUGAAAAUCUCAAUGGCAGCUCCAUAGCAUUGGUUGUAUGAAAUUUUUUUAAAAUAAAAAAAAAAUAGUGACAAGGGAACGAAAAUUGUAAACACAAAUGAACAAAAAUUGAAAACCUCCCCCCCAGACCUGAAUUGAACAUUGUCCUCAAUGCGAUUAGGUCGACCGCUACCAAGCACCUUAUUCUUCAACACAUGGGUUGCCUCCCAAGAAGCGCCUUAGUUAAUGUCUUGGCAAGACAUUAUGCCCUUAGCUAACUUGAUUGUACGAAGGGAAGAUGAUCCACCACAUGACCAGUUUGAAUUCCAACUGACACUCCCUCAUAGAAUGGCUUUAAACGUUGUCCAUUUACUUUGAAAGUCGAGCCAUCUUUAGGAUUUUGAAUCUCCACAGCUUCAUAGGGAGAUACAUUGACCACGGUGAAUGGGCCAAGCCACCUAGACUUCAAUUUUCCUGGAAAGAGACGCAAACGUGAGUUAAACAAAAGAACUGACAUACCUUUGGUGAAUUCUUUCCGUUGAAUGUUCCUGUCAUGGUAACUCUUGGUACGUUCUUUGUAUAGCUUUGCAUUCUCAUAGGACUCAUGUCGAAUUUCUUCCAAUUCAUUGAGCUGAAACUUUCUAACAUGGCCGGCCUUGUCCAGAUCAAAAUUCAACUUCUUGAUGGCCCAAAAAGCAUUGUGUUCAAGCUCCAUUGGCAAGUGACAGGCUUUCCCAAACACAAGACGAUAAGGGCUCAUUCCGAUGGGAGUCUUAUAUGCAGUCCUAUAAGCCCAUAAUGCAUCAUUGCGCUUGGCAGCCCAAUCUUUCCUUGUACUAUUCACCACCUUCUCUAGGAUCUGCUUAAUUUCUCUGUUGCUUAUUUCUACUUGACCAGAAGUUUGAGGAUGAUAUGGUGUAGAGACUCGGUGGGUGAUAUUGUACUUCUUCAUGAGUGCUUCAAAUAGCUUAUUGCAGAAAUGGCUGCCUCCAUCACUAAUGACAGCCCUUGGAGUACCAAACCUUGUGAAAAUAUUGUCCCUCAAGAACUUCAGGACCACUUUAUGAUCAUUGGUUUUGGUGGCUAUGGCUUCCACCCAUUUAGACACAUAAUCAACAGCAACAAGUAUGUAGGUAUAACCAAAGGAAGAUGGGAAUGGUCCCAUGAAAUCAAUACCCCAUACAUCGAAGAGUUCCACAAAGAGUAUGUUCUUCAAUGGCAGUUCGUUCCUGCGGCUUAUGUUUCCCAUCCUUUGACACCUAUCACACUUAACACAAAAAUUAAAUGCAUCUUUGAAUAGAGUAGGCCAAAAGAAACCUGAUUGCAAAAUUUUAAGUGCUGUUUUCUUGGCUCCAAAGUGGCCUCCACAAGCCAAUUCGUGGCUAUGCCUAAGGAUGCUUUCUUGUUCUUCUUCUGGAACACAUCUUCUAAUGAGUUGAUCUGGGCAAUGCUUGAAUAAGAAAGGUUCAUCCCAGACAUAAUGUUUCACCAUGGAAAAGAACUUCUUUUUGUCCUGAUAAGUUAGAUCAUUUCUAAGAACACCACAAGCAAGAUAAUUAACAAAAUCAGCAUACCAUGGCUCUUUGACUUGGGCAACAUAUAGUUGUUCAUCUGGGAAAGUCUCAUUCAAUGGUAGUACAGCUUCUCCUUGCUCUUCAACCACAAUUCUGCUCAAAUGGUCAGCCACCACAUUUUCACAUCCCUUCUUGUCUCGAAUCUCCAAAUCGAACUCUUGCAGCAAGAGAAUCCAUCUGAUCAAGCGAGGUUUGGCGUCCUUCUUAGUGAGCAAGUAUCUAAGAGCAGCAUGGUCAGAAUAAACAAUUACUUUAGAACCAACAAGGUAAGGGCGAAAUUUUUCUAAAGCAAAAACCACAGCAAGCAACUCAUUUUCGGUUAUGGAGUAAUUGAGUUGGGCAUCAUUCAAGGUCCGGCUCGCAUAAUGAAUCACAUGGGGAAGCUUGUUCUUCUUUUGACCUAAAAAUGCACCAAUAGCAAAGUCAGAGGCAUCACACAUUAUUUCAAAUGGUAAAGACCAAUCUGGAGCUAUGAUAAUAGGGGCUGAAGUUAGCUCUUUCUUCAAAGUCGUAAAGGCUUCCAUGCAAAUCUCGUCAAACUCAAAAACAGCAUCCUUAGCAAGGAGAUUACACAAUGGUCUUGAAAUGCUUGAAAAUUUUUUUAUGAACCUUCUAUAGAAUCCGGCAUGGCCCAGAAAGCUUCUAACUCCUUUAACAGAGGAAGGGGGUGGUAGAUUUGUGAUGAUAUUUAUCUUGGCUUUGUCCACUUGAAUUCCCUUGUUUGAAACAACAUGGCCUAGCACAAUUCCUUGUCUUACCAUGAAGUGACACUUCUCCCAAUUCAAAAUCAGAUUUGUUUCCUGACAUCUUGUAAGCACUAGAGACAAGUGGUGAAGACAAUCAUCAAAAGAUAAACCAAAAACUGAAAACAAACCAAAUGGCAUCCUUCUAUAAGCAAAUGUACCAAAUGGGCAUGUGAACGUGGUUUUCUCCUGGUCUUCCGGAGCAAUGGGAAUUUGAUUAUAACCUGAAAAUCCAUCAAGAAAACAGUAGUAAGCAUGGCCAGAUAAACGGUCAAGCAUUUGAUCAAUAAAAGGCAAGGGAAAAUGAUCUUUUCUCGUGGAUGUGUUCAACUUCCUGUAAUCAAUGCAAACUCUCCAACCAGUGAUAGUGCGUGUUGGAACUAGCUCAUUCUUCUCAUUCUUUACAACGGUGAUUCCGGACUUCUUUGGAACCACUUGCACAGGACUCACCCACUUAGAAUAUGAAAUUGGGUAGAUGAUUCCCACAUCAAGUAGCUUCAAAACUUCAGCCCUAACCACCUCUUUCACAUUGGGAUUUAGCCUCCUUUGUGCAUCACGAGAUGGUUUGCUGUCUUCUUCCAUUAAAAUUCGGUGCAUGCACAUGCUUGGACUAAUUCCUUUGAUGUCUGCUAUGGUCCAUCCAAGGGCUGUUUUAUGUUCUUUCAGAACUUCAAUUAAGCUGUCCUCUUCAUGUGAAGUGAGACUUGCAGCAAUUAUAACAGGGAGAGUUUCAUUAGUACCCAAAUAAGUAUAUUUAAGAUGAUUGGGUAGAGGUUUAAGUUCUAGCUUUGGUGGGGUGAUAAUGGAUGGCUCCAAUUUUGUGGAGGAUGAUACAAGAGGCUCAAGUGGUGGCCUAAAGGAUGGUGGGUAUGGCUGAAACACUUCUAAGGCAGCCAUCACUUCUUGGAACUCUGAUUCAAAGAGAUCUUCCUCUUCUUGUGUUAGGACCGCUUCCAAAGCAUCAUUAGACUUUUUCUGCACAAUUUUAGAAGAAACCUCAUGAUCCACAACAUCAAUUGAAAAACAAGUAUCAAGAGUGAUAGAAGGUUGAGACAGAGCAUCAAACACUUUAAAUUCAACAGUUUCACCCAAAACAGUCAUGGAGAGGGUGCCAUCUUUCACUUUGAUGAUUGUGUCUGCAGUGGCCAUGAAUGGUCGCCCGAGGAGAAUGGGAUCAUCACGGUCUACAUAUGGGUUAUCCUCCAUAUCCAUCACUACAAAAUCAGCCGGAAGAAUGAGUGUAUUAACUUGAACUAAAAUAUCUUCUACAAUACCUUUUGGAUAUUUGAUAGAAUGAUCAGCUAGUUCAAGACGAAUUGAGGUUUUCUUUAUCCCUUCUAAGCCAAGCGCCUGAUAAACUGAAUAUGGCAUUACAUUGAUGCUUGCUCCCAAGUCCAACAUGGCUCUUCCAACCGUCUUAUCUCCGAUGUUAAUGGGAAUGUUAAAGCUGCCAGGAUCUUCUAGUUUUGGUGGAAGCUUCCUUUGCAACACAGCACUCACAUUCUUGUUGAGCUUUACUUCUUCACUUGGAGUAAAAUUGAGCUUGUGAGUCAUCAAGUGCUUGAUGAACUUUCCAUAUGCAGGAAUCUGUUUAACAACAUCAAGCAAGGGCAAAUUGAUAUUAACUUUACUCAAAAUAUCAUAAAUCUCUUUAAAAGCCUUAUCUUGAUUUGCUUUCUUCAAACGGCCUGGAAAUGGAAUCGGUGGAAUAUAUGGAGGAGGUGGGAUGUAUCUAUCUUGAUGAAGAUGUGAUGGCACAAAUUUGUCAUCUCUUUUAUGCAAUUGAAAUGGAUUGGGUUCCUGAGAAUCAGAUUUGGCCUUAGGAGCAGAUUGGGACGUUUUGGGUUGUUCUCCUUCCAUAGCUGUGGUUUCCUCUUCAUCUUCAUCCUCUACAACCACAACAUCAUUUGAUAGAUCAGAACCAACUUUGUUAUCAACAAUCUUACCUGAUAUGAGCACAUGAACGGCCUUGGCUUCUUGGUUUUUUGGAUUGAUCACGGUUUGACUUGGCCAUUUCUCAGGUUCUCUUUGAGCUAUUUCAGUAGCUAUCUGGCCCAAUUGGACUUCCAACUUGGAGAUGGCAGCUUGUGUUGUUUGCUGGAAAUUGUUUUGGUUGAUUGCCAUUUGCUUCACUAAAUCCUCCAACGAUGAUGAUUGUUGUGGCCUUUGGAGUGAAGGGGGAUUCGCUUGAUUCUGUGUAUUCCUCCAUGAAAAGUUUGGAUGAUUCCUCCAACCUGGAUUAUAACUUUGAGAAUAUGGGUCAUUUAUUGGACCUCGGUUGUAGGAAUUCACCAACUUAGCUUGCUCUUGCACAAAUUCUGGAUAUGCAGCCCCAAAGGGACAAGAAAUGGUAGGAUGAUCAUGAGUUUCACAGAUGCUACACACUUCCUUCAAAGGGUUUCUUGAGUUCAAUGCAAGGAGGGCAUCUAGCUUUUGUUCCAAUUUGGAAAUCUGCACACUGGAAGAAUCAUUAGAACCACCAGCAAUACGUUUACCUCUUGUAUCGGUGUGUUGGGUCUCCAUUGCUAUCUCCUCAAAGAGUUCAUAUGUUUCUUUUAGAGUUUUAGUCUUAUAAGAACCACCUGCAAAAUUAGUGACAAUAUUAUGGCUAGAGGGGGUUAGUCCUUUAUAAAACAUACGCAUCUGAAGCUUCAAUGGAAUCCCAUGAUGAGGACAUUGAUUGAGCAGCCCGUUGAAUCUCUCCCAUGCUUCACAAAAUGACUCAUCAUCUUGUUGUGCAAAUAGAAGGAUCUUGUCCCUAAGCAUGUCGGUUUUUUGCGUGGAGAAAUAUUUCUCCAAGAACUUCUUUUGAAUGGCUCCCCAAUUCAUGAGUGAACCAGGCUUCAAAGAAUUCAACCAAUAUUUCGCCUUAUCUUUCAAAGUGUAAGGAAACACUCUCAUUCGAAGUUGCUCUUCCGUCACACCUGUCAAGGGAAAAGAGCUCACAACAUUAAAAAUAUCCUUUAUAUGAGUUAAUGGAUCUUCAUUAGGUAAACCAUAAAAAGAAGGGAGCAUAUUAAGAUGAGAAGAUUUAAGCUCAUAGUUUCGAGCUGCGGUGGGCAGCAAGAUGCUUGAAGGGGAUGCUGGAAUUGUUGGGAUAUCAAGGUCUCCCAUGAACUCAUUGGCAGCCAUCUCUUCUUCUUCUUGGUCUGAACUUGAUUCCGAAUUUGAAGGUGAAGACCCUGGGAGGUCAGUGUGGAUAGCAAGACCUUCAAAUGUGGCAAUGGCUUGCUCUUUUGCAGUUGCUAACUCUCUUUCUAGACGAUUCUGAAUUUCAGAGAUCACCCGGUUUGGUUGCAAAGAUGGCCCUGCGUUCAAAGAUCUCGAACGUUGGAAUGAAGACCUCACUUGUUCAAGGAAAGGAUUACUAGACAUAAACUACCUGAAACAGAAAAUAAUUUGAGUUAAUUAGUACUUCUAAAAGAAUAGGGUAACCUUGGGCACAUAACCAGGGAAGAACUUUCAUUCAGUCCCCGGCAACGGCGCCAAAAUUUGUUGUUAAAAUGUUAACUCGCAAUUGUACGGGCCAAUUAGUAGUAUAGCAAGACAAGUACGAGGUCGUACCCACGAGGACUGAGAAGUUAAAAUUAGUUAUGUACUUAGAUUAUCAAAUUCAAGAAAGUAGGAGGUUAAGUCUAAAAUAGAAUUUAAAGCAAGAGUGAUUGUAAUUGUUGAACAAAUGAGGCAAAACGAAAUUUCAAACAAAAGCAAAGUGAACAAAUGUAACAAAGAGUACUUUUGUAGGCUGGAAAACAGAUUGGGAGACUAGGGCAUUCGGUUCACCAUAACAAUUCAAUUCUGGGUUAUAAGGAGUCAAGUGACAAGUCUCAUUCGAAUUCAAAGAUUGAUUCUAGCUAAAGUAUGAUUAGGCCAUGGUGUCUGGUCCUAACCCUGUGCUCCUAAUUCCCUAACUUGAUCAUUUGUUGUCUAAUCUAAAUUAAGCAUUAGGAACCCAUUAAGCAUAGAAGAACAAUUUAAACAACCAAGCAUGUAUCUAAUCCCUGUUGUCGAAUGUCCAUACAUACUUUUCUUAUUCAUAGUUCAAUUCAAAUCAAAGCAUGGUGUCUACUCUUGAUUCAAACCAAGGUAGCUAAUAUACAAGUUCUAAUGGUGAUCAAUCAUCCAAACAAGCAUAUUAACUGAUAAGCAUAAAGAAUAGGAAUAUGAAUCAUGAAUCAAACUUGAAACUCAAAACUUCAACUUAUAAACCCAGAAUAUUCAUGUUAGGUUACAUCAUAGCCCUAGUUAUGAAUUUAGCUACUCAUAAUGGAAAUGAAACUUAAGCAAAAAUGAGAAAACAUAUUGAAUGCAAUAAGAGUAGAGAAACCCAAUUCUGAAGUUGCUUGUGGUUUCCAAGGCUUCUCCAGGUGCUUCUCCACGUCUAAUGCUACUCCAAGAACUUUCUCAUGUCUAGAGUAUGGAAACUAAAGAGGUGAUUUGGGAUGAGUUUGGGUGGUUGGUGAUGGCAGAGAAAGAACAAAUUUGUAGGAAAUGGAAGGAAGGCUUGUUGGAGUUGUUCCUCCCUCUGAUUUUGGGCUGAAUGGAGUGAUAUAAGAUGGCUGGAGUGAAUUAUUGGUCAAU